AUGCUUGUCUCNGGUGACUCUAGAUAACCUCAGGCCGAUCGCGCGCCCCUCCUGGUGGCGACGUCUCUCUCGAAUGUCUGCUCUAUCAACUUUUGAUGGUACUUUCUGUGCCUACCAUGGGUAACGGGGGAAUCAGGGUUCGAUUCUGGAGAUGGAGCCUGAAAAACAGCUACCACAUCCAAGGAAGGCAGCA
rnacentral:ncRNA from 1 species